AUAGGGGGGAGGGGUGUCGUGCUGCUGAAACUCGAGUUGCCCAAAGGCUUGCUGGGCGCAAUGCCAGCAAGAUGCACGAUGCCUUGCCAUCCCCUAGGCACACUAGCAAGCCCGUUGUGGUUGUGGUGUGCCGUCGGGGUCCCCCGCCCCGGGUCCAAGGUCGAGCACGGGCGUCGGGCUGCUGCACACCCCAAUCACCAAAGGACCAAGAAGGGAAACACGUCCAUGCACGCCCCAUCUGGUCACCACCAAGGGAGCAUGGCGUGGUCGAGUUGUGCCUUGUGCACCCGCGGCGUGCUCGCCUUACGUCUAUGGUCGACGCAAGACGGUGCCCGACGCGGUGUUGG